GGUAUCAAGUAAAAAAUUGUAAAAGUAAUUAAAAGAGUGUAAAGGUAUACAAUGUUGUGAGAUAAGAGCGAAAUACGAGUUUGAUGGGUCGUCAAGUAAAGCAUGAGCAAGUAAUCUCCGGGCAGCAGAUAUGAGUGUCGGCGAUGAACGUUGAGUUCUCUUCGCCGGAAUUAAUCGAUCUUUAAAAACACCCAUUAAAGCUGAAAUCUUGAUAGAUGGGUCAGCGUGUAUGUAGAUAUUGUAUAGAUGUGGAUCUACAGGUUUAGUACCAUUGAAGAACUUCUCCCAAAUUGGGGAAAACUGUAAAUCUGAAUUUGUUAAGAACAUAAAUGCGAUUUUUGGUGGACGAACAGUAGCGGAUCCAAGACGGAGUUUUUUGUGAGAUGGGUGUUUUGGAAAAGUGGUUUCAGCAGCAAUUGCUUUGUGAAAGAGUGAUAGAUCGUCGAGUUCAUCAGGUACAGAAAUGGAGAUUUGUCGAGGUAAUAGGAUUUUUGGUCCUAAUAAGAAGAGAAUAAGAACAGAAAUGAGAAGAGUAAGAAAAGGGAUAACUACAGAUAAUCUGAACAUAUUUUCUUGUUACAGCAAAAUCACCAUUAAUGG
rnacentral:misc_RNA from 1 species